UUUCUACUCAAAUUUGUUUCAGAACCGACCUUUUUCAACGUGCUGAGUCCGAAAUCAGACACCUUCAGGUUCCCUUCACUGUCCAACAGCAGGUUUUCCGGCUGUUUCACAUCGGUAAGUAAUCCACAGCAUCAAUCAACUGCUGGAAAUAUCUCCUCGCUUCUCUUUCUGUCAAUCCUUUGCACUAUCGACAAGAAAUCAAUCAACCGUCGAAGAACAACAACAAACAGAAACUCUUCAAUUCACUUACCAUUCUGUCGGUGAGCUGCCCUCCUGAAGCAUACUCCAUUAUCAGCUACUUGCCGGUUCGUGUGCACAUCGACGGCGAGCUUGACCUUGGCAAAUGCACCUUCGCCGAUCAUCCUGCCGAGACAAUACUUUCCUACAAUCCUAGCCAUUUUUCG